AUGGGAUUAUCCCUCCAAGGCCACACCUCCCAGGAAGUAACUUCUUUCUACUGUGUAAUGUUCUACCUGUUGGUACAACUCCAAACAGCCCUUACUUCAGCUCUACUCCACGAGUUGAUGCAGUAUGAGGCCCUCGCGGGAAACCACGCAGACACUGGUGACACGUUCUUGGACUUCUAGGCCUCCAGAAUUGGGAGCUCAACAAACCCCUCUCCUUUACAAUUCACACAGUCUCCGAUAUUUUAUUCUAGCAACAGAUAUGGACAAAGACACUUGCUGUUUGUAUGCUGCUUAAUCUAAUGACACCUUUGUUGUCUACUUUCUUGUUACCCUAAAGUGGGAUCGCUGGGUCAGCAGCAUCUGUACCCUGGGGAGCUUGUUAAGAAUGAGAAAUCUCAGCUCCCCUCUUGGACCUACUGAAUUAAAAUCUACAAUUUAGCAAG
rnacentral:lncRNA from 1 species